rnacentral:rRNA from 1 species
GUGACCUCGGAUCAAGGGUAAGGAU